AAGACGCGUUAGUCGGGGGGAAGGUUCUAGAAAAGCGGCGGCAGCGGCUCUAGCGGCAGUAGCAGCAGCGCCGAGUCCCGUGUGGAGGUGCUCUUAGCGGUGUUGUUUCUCGAGCAGCGGCAGUUCUCACUACAGCGCCAGGACGAGUCCGGUUCGUGUUCGUCCGCGGAGAUCUCUCUCAUCUCGCUCGGCUGCGGGAAAUCGGGCUGAAGCGACUGAGUCCGCGAUGGAGAAAACUUUAGAAACUGUUCCUUUGGAGAGGAAAAAGAGAGAAAAGGAACAGUUCCGUAAACUCUUCAUUGGUGGCUUGAGCUUUGAAACCACAGAAGAAAGUUUGAGGAAUUACUACGAGCAAUGGGGGAAACUUACAGACUGUGUGGUUAUGAGGGAUCCUGCAAGCAAAAGAUCAAGAGGAUUUGGCUUUGUAACUUUUUCAUCCAUGGCUGAGGUUGAUGCUGCCAUGGCUGCAAGACCUCAUUCAAUUGAUGGUAGAGUGGUUGAGCCAAAACGUGCUGUUGCAAGAGAGGAAUCUGGAAAACCGGGGGCUCAUGUAACUGUGAAGAAGCUGUUUGUUGGUGGGAUUAAAGAAGAUACUGAGGAACAUCAUCUUAGAGAUUAUUUUGAGGAAUAUGGGAAGAUUGAUACCAUUGAGAUAAUUACUGAUAGACAGUCUGGAAAGAAAAGAGGCUUUGGAUUUGUUACUUUUGAUGAUCAUGAUCCUGUGGAUAAGAUUGUGUUGCAGAAAUAUCAUACCAUCAAUGGUCAUAAUGCAGAAGUAAGAAAGGCUCUGUCUAGACAAGAAAUGCAGGAAGUCCAAAGUUCUAGAAGUGGAAGAGGAGGUAAUUUUGGUUUUGGAGAUUCUCGUGGUGGUGGUGGAAAUUUUGGACCAGGACCAGGAAGUAACUUUAGAGGAGGAUCUGAUGGAUAUGGAAGUGGUCGUGGAUUUGGGGAUGGCUAUAAUGGGUAUGGAGGAGGACCUGGAGGUGGCAAUUUUGGAGGUAGCCCUGGUUAUGGAGGAGGAAGAGGAGGAUAUGGUGGUGGAGGACCUGGAUAUGGCAACCAGGGUGGGGGCUACGGAGGUGGUUAUGACAACUAUGGAGGAGGAAAUUAUGGAAGUGGAAAUUACAAUGAUUUUGGAAAUUAUAACCAGCAACCCUCUAACUAUGGUCCAAUGAAGAGUGGAAACUUUGGUGGUAGCAGGAACAUGGGGGGACCAUAUGGUGGAGGAAACUAUGGUCCUGGAGGCAGUGGAGGAAGUGGGGGUUAUGGAGGAAGAAGCCGAUACUGAGCUUCUUCCUAUUUGCCAUGGAUCUUUUAGAUGCUGCUUCUUCAAUGCAAGGAAAGGAAAUAACCCCAGCGAGGUACUCUUCAGGGAUACAGGUCUAGUACAAGAGAACUCUUGACGGCUACUAAGUUCAGCCAGUCUUAAAAAACUGUGCUGUUUCUGCAAAGCUUUAAACUACAGUAGUUUAUAAGGAUGACAACGAAAGCUGAGGGUGUAGAGCAAAAUAGUUCUAAGCUUCAGUUAAACUUCUUUAGGUAAGAUCUUAAUUUACUUUUUCUUUCUUAAUUUUCCUCCCCAAAAGAUAAACUAAUACUACUCUUCAAUGGUCUUUCAGUAUAGUGGUUCUUAUGUAGUUUAACAUAGCUAUAAAUUUGAGUUUAACAAUUUAUAAACUCAAGAGAAUAAUCUUAUAAACCCUGUUUUCCAAUCUGUCAUUUACUUAAAUUAUUUUGGUUGUUUUUUCCCCCCUUUUUUUUCCUUCUUUCCCACCCCCUCUCCCUCUAUGAAGAUUCAGGUGCUUAACAUAUCAUUUUUUUCCCUGCUGGAAUUUUAGCAUUGAUAUGAACCAUGGACAAGUAUAUUCUGCUGCCACAAAGACUGUAAAGUGCUUCAUUUCAACAGCUGAGGCGCAAGCCAAGUGAUCAUUAAUAAAGCUUUUCUUGGUUCCUUCAGUGGUGUUGGUAGUAAAAUGGAAGGUGUCUUGCUGCAGGUAACUAAUGAAGAAGUGGUCAACCACAGAGUCUUCAAGAAAUAAGAAAUUCUGUACCAUCUGAAAGUAGUUCUUGUUGGUGCCUUCAUUUAAAAAAAAAAAAAAAAGCACUUUAAGUUUAAAGGGAAAUGUUUUCUGAUAAAAUACAAACUUCAUUUAGUACAGGUUCUUAAUAUAAAACAAUUACAAAAUGAGUGUUGUUUGUAAAAGAGUAACAUCAGAUAAGCAAGAGAGAAAUGUAUCAUGUUUUAAACUAGGUUUUGUGAGUAGACAGAUAAAAAUUCUAUUUUAAAUAUAAAGUUUAUAAAAUAAACACUUUUGUAUUAAAAUACUCGGUGUAAUGUUUACACAUAAAAUGUGUGAAUCUUGUUCUAUAAACAUUCAGUUGUCUAAAAGAUUGCCAUCCCCUAGAUUUUUCAAAGCAGUUUGAAAAAACUAUGCAUAUUGCCAUUUUUAUCUCAGUAUUGAUAGUCCAAUGAGAAAAGGAUUUGUGGACAUUAUUGGCUGUCCCUAAUAAAAUGCCAUUCUUUACAUACUGUA